CGCAGCCGCGGUAAUUCCAGCUCCAAUAGCGUAUAUUAAAGUUGUUGCAGUUAAAAGCUCGUAGUUGAAUUUCGGGAUCAGUGGGUCGGUCGUGCCGCUGGUAUGCACUGGCCCUACUGGUUCCUCCUUCUUGAAGAACUGUAAUGCCAUUAAUUUGGUGUUGCAGGGAAACAGGACUGUUACUUUGAAAAAUUGAGUGUUUAAAGCAGGCAAUCGCUUGAAUACAUUAGCAUGGAAUAAUGAAAUAGGACGAUCGAUCCUAUUUUGUUGGUUUCUAGGAUUGACGUAAUGAUUAAUAGGGAUAGUUGGGGGCAUUAGUAUUCAAUUGUCAGAGGUGAAAUUCUUGGAUUUAUUGAAGACUAACUACUGCGAAAGCAUUUGCCAAGG
rnacentral:misc_RNA from 1 species